UGAGGAAUAUUGGACAAUGGGUGGAAACCUGAUCCAGCCAUGCCGCGUGCAGGAAGACGGCCCUAUGGGUUGUAAACUGCUUUUGUAUGGGAGCAAUAAGCUCUACGUGUAGAGUGAUGAGAGUACCAUACGAAUAAGCAUCGGCUAACUCCGUGCCAGCAGCCGCGGUAAUACGGAGGAUGCGAGCGUUAUCCGGAUUUAUUGGGUUUAAAGGGUGCGUAGGCUGUUAUGUAAGUCAGCGGUGAAAUACCUAAGCUCAACUUAGGGGCUGCCGUUGAUACUGCAUAGCUGGAAUAUGGUUGCUGUUGGCGGAAUGUGUAGUGUAGCGGUGAAAUGCAUAGAUAUUACACAGAACACCGAUUGCGAAGGCAGCUGACAAAGCCAUUAUUGACGCUGAUGC
rnacentral:rRNA from 1 species